rnacentral:misc_RNA from 1 species
UCCGGUUUGUCACCGGCAGUCUCAUUAGAGUGCUCUAUCCGUAGCAACUAAUGACAAGGGUUGCGCUCGUUGCGGGACUUAACCCAACAUCUCACGACACGAGCUGACGACAGCCAUGCAGCACCUGUGUUCUGGUUCUCUUGCGAGCACUCCUGAAUCUCUCCAGGAUCCCAGGCAUGUCAAGGGUAGGUAAGGUUUUUCGCGUUGCAUCGAAUUAAUCCACAUCAUCCACCGCUUGUGCGGGUCCCCGUCAAUUCCUUUGAGUUUUAAUCUUGCGACCGUACUCCCCAGGCGGUCAACUUCUCGCGUUAGCUGCGCUACCAAGUUCCGAAAAACCCAACAGCUAGUUGACAUCGUUUAGGGCGUGGACUAC